UUAACUUGUUGAUAAUAAAAUUUGCUCUCUGAAGAAGUAUACUAGAAACAUCCUGAUUUGGGGUUAUAAUUAAAAAUGAAAACAAAACAACCUCCCUUAAAAUAAAUAAAACUCUUAAUUCAAACUUAGUAGAUAGUUGAUAAUAAAAAUGAAAAUUCUGGCAUGUAUAGACAUUGGGAAGUCUUGGAAUUUGGAUAUCACUGACCAUCUGG
rnacentral:lncRNA from 1 species